rnacentral:rRNA from 1 species
UACGUAGGGGGCAAGCGUUGUCCGGAUUUAUUGGGCGUAAAGAGCGUGUAGGCGGCCAGAUAGGUCCGUUGUGAAAACUGGAGGCUUAACCUCCAGCUGUCGAUGGAAACCAUCUGGCUAGAGUCCGGAAGAGGAGAGUGGAAUUCCUGGUGUAGCGGUGAAAUGCGCAGAUAUCAGGAAGAACACCAGCGGCGAAGGCGGCGCUCUGGGCCGGUACUGACACUGAGGAGCGAAAGCGUGGGUAGCAAACAGG